GCUCUGUUUUGCGUGCAACCAUUUGGUCAUCUGCUGAGUUGGACCAGAUUGACAGGUCCAGAAACUUUGCCAGCCCUUGUAGGUGGGCACCAGCCUUUCUGGAGUGUCUACAAUGGAUCCACAGAGUCUCCAGGAGGGGUUUGCUGACUGGACGCCGCCUCGCUCUCCUAGGCUGCUUCGCUUUCUUGAGGUCAAAUUUUCCCUUUCUCUAGACUUUUUCCUCUUUAGCCAUCAAGCUGCACUUCUCAGCAUUGUAAUCACCAAAGCCCUGUUUCUCUGCACCUCCUGCUGCUUUGUGGGGAUCCUCCAUUCUCUUAGAAGUACAAGGAACAUAGCACCCAGUACGGGACUUUCCAGUCCUUCCAACAGAAGGGUUAGGGAGCAAAGAAUACCCAAGACUGACCAGAGCAAUGUCAUAUCAAGUGAACAGCAGACAAAUUAUAUGGAACUGAAAUUUCACAAAUCUUACCCCCAGCAAAGAAAAUGGUUUGUUAGAGGGAAAAAGAAAAGGUACAGUUGUUGUUAUAUGUAUUUGAUUAUUAGCAUGAUCUUGAUUCUUUGUUUUAGAAGAUUACCUCUCUUAAAUCAUUAUAAAAUCACUCUAUUAUAGACCUUAAGCAACUUCAUUAACUAUUUCAGAAUACUACUGUGGAAUAGUUUGUCUCUGAAAUAGUCCUCCACUGUGUUCAUUUUUCCCAAAAUAUCAUUGACCCAGGAUCCAACAGAAUUGUAUUACUUAUAAGAAUAAUUUCUUUAAAUUAAAUGUGUGGAGAUUGCAUACAUUCUAGGUUUCUUUCUCAUGCUGUUUUAAAAACAAUUCCUGAAUAUUAGCUUUCAGUUCAGUGUAGUCUCAAUCAGUUCCACAAAUAUUUACUGAACUUUUAUUUUGGGUUUGUUCUGGACUUAUCAUGAAACUUACAAAGAUGAAGGAGCAAUGAUCACUAGCUUCAAGAACUAAGAGAAUUUAUUGUUAUAUGAAGGAGAGAUUAUAAGAAAAGUUUAAUGUAUUUUGGAGGUAAAACUUAUAAGACUUAAUGUUAGAUCGAUUAUUGGAAGUAAAGGGAGACAUGAGUAAAAUACAUUAAUGAAAUUUCCAGUUUAAAUGAUUUGGUUAGUUAGUCAUGUCACCCACUCUUUAAAAAAUUGUUGAAAUAUAGCAAUCAGUCCAGUAAAAGUGAGAUGACACGACAUUUAAAAUGACUCUUGAUAGUUUGGAAGAAAAUGUCCAUGAUGAAAUUGGAUUUAUGAGACUGGAAAUCGAGGUGAGGAUAGGAGAAUACUGAAUUGUAUGAGUACUGAGAUGAAGACUACAUGAAUAGAAUGAAAGAAGACAUAUGAAAAGUUUGCCUGGAACCAUUGAGCAAUCUGAAACUAAAAGGAAGGAAACAAGAAUAGGAUAUGAAUAUGUAAUGGUAAUAUCUAUAUAGGUAGGUAUCAAGUGGGGCAAGUUAAGGUAAUUUACAUAUGUUGGUUUCAACUCCCUUGGUAAAAUAAGUGGCAUGUCUGUCUGCUUAGAUUAAGAGCUUGGUGCUUGAGUAGAGGCUAAUGUUGAGCCACCUAAUUGUUAAACCCUAGAUAUGGAAGUUGACUUUGAUUCCUCAUGUUCUCAUAUCCUCAACGCAUUCAAGCAAUCACUAAGCAGAGUAUAUUCAAGCCAACCUGCUUUUCUCCUCUGUGAACUCCAUCAUUUUUUUUUCAAGAGUACUGCACAGCCUUUUAAGGUUUUUUUUCACUUCCCAUCUAAGUACUUUUCAAUCCAUUAUACUGUAAGCAAAAUGUUCAUUACUUAAAGAAAAGUCUCUGCAAAAUUUCCUACUGUUCUUACAACUGAAAACAAAAGCCAACAGCAUAGUAUGCUCAGUCCCGCAGGAUAUGACUGUUACUGGUUUUUCCAUGUCCACUCCCUCCUUUUAUCUCCAAAUUCCAGAUGACUAUAAUUUCAAAUCCUUCAAUGCAGCAAGCUGGCUCUCACCUAUAUAGAUUUUAUUGAUGCUGCCUCCCCAAACCUUCCAUGCUUUAAGGAAUAAUUAAUUCCUACUUCUCUUUCAAUCUUCAAUGUCACACCAUCUUUUUAGGGAAGCAUUUCCUGUGCUUAUGGGUCUAAAUUAUAACCUGGUAAACAUACCCAUAUUUUAAAAAUUUAUAAUAAUUAUUUCUUAUCUCAACAAAAAGAAAAAUGGUCUUUGCUCUUUCCCCAUUGCACAUCAACAGAUAUUGAUUAAUAAACUUUUUGAGGAAUAAAUGAAUAUUAAAAGUCAUGUGGAAUUUGAAAAUCAAUGUUUUAUUUGCUUGGCAGUUUAAUUUUCUCUUGCUGUACUUAAUUUUCCAGUUUACUAGCAAGGAGAAUAAGACUUAGGAUUGUUCAGAGUUUAUAGAAGACUAGGUAAAGGAUGGCUGGUAAGGGUGGUUCAGGUGACAUACACUGAUCCUCUAGCUGGAGAAGGAUAAGUAAACUCAAGAGGGAGCUGACUGCCAGGGUAAAAAUUUGGGGAUUAAAUAACUGGAACUCUUCAUGCAGCUUAGAUUGUUGUGCUGAGGAUGAGUACAUUCAAGAAUUAGAAAAUGAAAGAUUGCCUUCUGAGGGUGAAACAUAAUGGUAUUAAAAUUUGUAUUUGCUUACUUCUGGGCAAUGAUAAAAUUCAUUCAUUGUCUCUCCUUUAUCAGUUCUCCAUUCUCCAUCAUGGAAAGUGGUUGCUGGAAGCCUAGGAGUCUUGUGUUUGGUCUUGUUGACAAGAGUGUGUGCCUUGUUUGCAAACUGUAAGUAUUUAAGAAAGGAAAUCACUGUGAUUACAGCCAGCACAAAAGCAGUAUUAUAUUAUUAUAUUCUGAUGAUUUGCCAUCAAGACUGAAUUUUUACUUUGCCUUAGUAAUUUUAUCCUAAUAGUAAUAACCACCAUGAUUUUUGUCACAGUGUUUUCUAAAAUAGACAAGCAAAAGAGAAAAAUCUCACUUAUUCUUACUUCAUCUUCAAAAAAAUGGUGAAUACUAACUCUGUCCAGUUCCUUUUUUAUUUUUUUAAAGAGGUACCUGGAACUGAACCCAUGACCUCAUACAUGAGAAGCAGGCUCUCAACCACUGAACUAUAUCUGCUUCCCUAGUUCAUUUUUAAUACUUGUGUUGAUUAGGGUUAGAGGUUAUAUCUUCUUUAGAACCAUAAAUUCUUUUUUUAAAGAUUUGUUUAUUUAUUUAUUUCUCUCCCCUCCCUGCCCACCCCGCCCACCCCGGUUGUCUGUUCUCUGUGUCUAUUUGCUGCAUCUUGUUUCUUUGUCCGCUUCUGUUGCUGUCAGCGGCACAGGAAUCUGUGUCUCUUUUUGUUGUGUCAUCUUGUUGUGUCAGCUCUCCGUAUGGGUGGCACCAUUCUUAGGCAGGCUGCACUUUCUUUCUCGCCGGGCGGCUCUCCUUACGGGGUGCACUCCUUGCGCGUGGGGUUCCCCUACGCAGGGGACACCCCUGAGUGGCAGGGCACUCCUUGCGCGCAUCAGCACUGCGCAUGGGCCAGCUCCACACGGGUCAAGGAGGCCCGGGGUUUGAACCGCGGACCUCCCAUGUGGUAGACAGGCGCCCUAACCACUGGGACAAGUCUUUUUCCCCCAUAAAAUUUUAUUGGAUCAUGGUAAGCAAAUGGAGUUCAAGAAUUGGAUAUUCUUAGCUUACAUGUAGGAUCUUGUGUUUAAAACUGCUUUUUGACCUUGAAUAAAAGGGGGAAAUGGCUACAGAGACCCACAGGUUCUAGCGUCAUGGCAGAUGGCUCUGGAGUUCAGUGCCUUAUCAAUGGGCCCUACUUUGGAAUUUGUGUUCCUGAGUGUGAUGGAGUUGGACUCAGAUGUGACCUGUGGUUGGCACUAGGGUUGGUGUAUGCUCAGGAGACUUGAAUCUCUGGACUGGCCAUGUGCCAGCUGGGCCCUGAGCCUUAGCAGAGUUGCAACUCCUACUCUCUGGUUUGUUGGACUUACCCAGGUCAGCUAACAGGGAGGUGAAGAUGGUCAACCACUGCACCAGGAAACUGAAAGUACCUACACUGCAAGCAGGAGAAUAGCAUCCAUCAUCCAUGUGGAAUCAAAGCCCCCUCUCGAUAUAAAGGUGGAAUGGACUUCACCAUCCCAGGGUCCACAGGAUGGAGAAAUAAAAUAUGGAUCAGGGUGGACUUACUGAUAUUCUACUAUAGAACUAUUGUGACUAGUAAUGAAAGAAAUUGUAGCAUUGAUGUGGAGAAAGUGGCCACAGUAGUUGCUGAGGGCAGGGAGAAGGAAGAAGAGUUGUGAUGUGGGGGCAUUUUGAGGAUUUGAAGCUGUCUUAAAUGAUAUUGCAAGGACAGAUGCUGGACAUUAUAUAUCCUGCCACAACCCACUGAAUGUACUGGGGGAGAGUGUGAACUACAAUGUAAACUAUUACCCAUGUGGUGCACCCGUGCACCAAAAUGUAUUCACCAAAUGCAAAUGUGCCACAAGGAUGAAAGAGGUUGUUGAUGUGGGAGGAGUGGGGUGGGGGGAUGUGGGGUAUAUGGGAACCUCUUACAUUUUUUUAAUGUAACACUUUUUGUGAUCUAUGUAUCUUCAAAAAAAUGAAAUUAAAAAAUGAUUGGAUGGGGAGGUGGGGAGUGGGGUAUAUGGGAACCUCUUAUCUUUUUUAAUGUAACGUUUUAUGAGAUCUAUUAACUUUAAAAAAAGAUAAUUAAAAAAUAAAAUAAAAUAAAAAUAAAGAAUUGGAU
ensembl:lincRNA